AACGCAUAUUGCGCCUGCUGGUAUUCCGGUAGGCAUAUCUGUUUGAGCGUCAGCAAACAUCUCUCAGCGUAGGUGUUGUUGCCUUCACUGGUCCUGAGUUUGGGGUUCUUCGGACAGUUGCUGCUCCCUCCCCCCCGACUUUAAUUUGCUGCACGACCGCGAGCUACCUUACGCUUGGGUUUUACAGAGUGGAAAUUUACUUUUAACUUCUGUAUCCGAGCGUCGACCAGCUCAGGCGGCGUUAAACGUCUAAGGUUUGCCUCCUGUGGCGGACUGAAGUUUGACCUCAAAUCAGAUAAGAAUACCCGCUGAACUUAA
rnacentral:misc_RNA from 1 species